UUAAGCGACUAAGCGUACACGGUGGAUGCCCUGGCAGUCAGAGGCGAUGAAGGACGUGCUAAUCUGCGAUAAGCGUCGGUAAGGUGAUAUGAACCGUUAUAACCGGCGAUUUCCGAAUGGGGAAACCCAGUGUGUUUCGACACACUAUCAUUAACUGAAUCCAUAGGUUAAUGAGGCGAACCGGGGGAACUGAAACAUCUAAGUACCCCGAGGAAAAGAAAUCAACCGAGAUUCCCCCAGUAGCGGCGAGCGAACGGGGAGCAGCCCAGAGCCUGAAUCAGUGUGUGUGUUAGUGGAAGCGUCUGGAAAGGCGCGCGAUACAGGGUGACAGCCCCGUACACAAAAAUGCACAUGCUGUGAGCUCGAUGAGUAGGGCGGGACACGUGGUAUCCUGUCUGAAUAUGGGGGGACCAUCCUCCAAGGCUAAAUACUCCUGACUGACCGAUAGUGAACCAGUACCGUGAGGGAAAGGCGAAAAGAACCCCGGCGAGGGGAGUGAAAAAGAACCUGAAACCGUGUACGUACAAGCAGUGGGAGCACAGAGCAAUCUGUGUGACUGCGUACCUUUUGUAUAAUGGGUCAGCGACUUAUAUUCUGUAGCAAGGUUAACCGAAUAGGGGAGCCGAAGGGAAACCGAGUCUUAACUGGGCGUUAAGUUGCAGGGUAUAGACCCGAAACCCGGUGAUCUAGCCAUGGGCAGGUUGAAGGUUGGGUAACACUAACUGGAGGACCGAACCGACUAAUGUUGAAAAAUUAGCGGAUGACUUGUGGCUGGGGGUGAAAGGCCAAUCAAACCGGGAGAUAGCUGGUUCUCCCCGAAAGCUAUUUAGGUAGCGCCUCGUGAAUUCAUCUCCGGGGGUAGAGCACUGUUUCGGCAAGGGGGUCAUCCCGACUUACCAACCCGAUGCAAACUGCGAAUACCGGAGAAUGUUAUCACGGGAGACACACGGCGGGUGCUAACGUCCGUCGUGAAGAGGGAAACAACCCAGACCGCCAGCUAAGGUCCCAAAGUCAUGGUUAAGKGGGAAACGAUGUGGGAAGGCCCAGACAGCCAGGAUGUUGGCUUAGAAGCAGCCAUCAUUUAAAGAAAGCGUAAUAGCUCACUGGUCGAGUCGGCCUGCGCGGAAGAUGUAACGGGGCUAAACCAUGCACCGAAGCUGCGGCAGCGACGCUUAUGCGUUGUUGGGUAGGGGAGCGUUCUGUAAGCCUGCGAAGGUGUGCUGUGAGGCAUGCUGGAGGUAUCAGAAGUGCGAAUGCUGACAUAAGUAACGAUAAAGCGGGUGAAAAGCCCGCUCGCCGGAAGACCAAGGGUUCCUGUCCAACGUUAAUCGGGGCAGGGUGAGUCGACCCCUAAGGCGAGGCCGAAAGGCGUAGUCGAUGGGAAACAGGUUAAUAUUCCUGUACUUGGUGUUACUGCGAAGGGGGGACGGAGAAGGCUAUGUUGGCCGGGCGACGGUUGUCCCGGUUUAAGCGUGUAGGCUGGUUUUCCAGGCAAAUCCGGAAAAUCAAGGCUGAGGCGUGAUGACGAGGCACUACGGUGCUGAAGCAACAAAUGCCCUGCUUCCAGGAAAAGCCUCUAAGCAUCAGGUAACAUCAAAUCGUACCCCAAACCGACACAGGUGGUCAGGUAGAGAAUACCAAGGCGCUUGAGAGAACUCGGGUGAAGGAACUAGGCAAAAUGGUGCCGUAACUUCGGGAGAAGGCACGCUGAUAUGUAGGUGAAGUCCCUUGCGGAUGGAGCUGAAAUCAGUCGAAGAUACCAGCUGGCUGCAACUGUUUAUUAAAAACACAGCACUGUGCAAACACGAAAGUGGACGUAUACGGUGUGACGCCUGCCCGGUGCCGGAAGGUUAAUUGAUGGGGUUAGCGCAAGCGAAGCUCUUGAUCGAAGCCCCGGUAAACGGCGGCCGUAACUAUAACGGUCCUAAGGUAGCGAAAUUCCUUGUCGGGUAAGUUCCGACCUGCACGAAUGGCGUAAUGAUGGCCAGGCUGUCUCCACCCGAGACUCAGUGAAAUUGAACUCGCUGUGAAGAUGCAGUGUACCCGCGGCAAGACGGAAAGACCCCGUGAACCUUUACUAUAGCUUGACACUGAACAUUGAGCCUUGAUGUGUAGGAUAGGUGGGAGGCUUUGAAGUGUGGACGCCAGUCUGCAUGGAGCCGACCUUGAAAUACCACCCUUUAAUGUUUGAUGUUCUAACGUUGACCCGUGAUCCGGGUUGCGGACAGUGUCUGGUGGGUAGUUUGACUGGGGCGGUCUCCUCCUAAAGAGUAACGGAGGAGCACGAAGGUUGGCUAAUCCUGGUCGGACAUCAGGAGGUUAGUGCAAUGGCAUAAGCCAGCUUGACUGCGAGCGUGACGGCGCGAGCAGGUGCGAAAGCAGGUCAUAGUGAUCCGGUGGUUCUGAAUGGAAGGGCCAUCGCUCAACGGAUAAAAGGUACUCCGGGGAUAACAGGCUGAUACCGCCCAAGAGUUCAUAUCGACGGCGGUGUUUGGCACCUCGAUGUCGGCUCAUCACAUCCUGGGGCUGAAGUAGGUCCCAAGGGUAUGGCUGUUCGCCAUUUAAAGUGGUACGCGAGCUGGGUUUAGAACGUCGUGAGACAGUUCGGUCCCUAUCUGCCGUGGGCGCUGGAGAACUGAGGGGGGCUGCUCCUAGUACGAGAGGACCGGAGUGGACGCAUCACUGGUGUUCGGGUUGUCAUGCCAAUGGCACUGCCCGGUAGCUAAAUGCGGAAGAGAUAAGUGCUGAAAGCAUCUAAGCACGAAACUUGCCCCGAGAUGAGUUCUCCCUGACUCCUUGAGAGUCCUGAAGGAACGUUGAAGACGACGACGUUGAUAGGCCGGGUGUGUAAGCGCAGCGAUGCGUUGAGCUAACCGGUACUAAUGAACCGUGAGGCUUAACCUU
rnacentral:rRNA from 1 species